CCUACGGGAGGCAGCAGCAAGGUGGGGAAUUUUCCGCAAUGGGCGAAAGCCUGACGGAGCAAUACCGCGUUAGGGAAGAAAGCCUACUGCCUUGUAAACCUCUUUUUUCAGGGAGGAAAAAAAUGACGUGUACCUGAAGAAUAAGCAUCGGCUAACACCGUG
rnacentral:rRNA from 1 species